AUUGAACGCUGGCGGCAGGCCUAACACAUGCAAGUCGAGCGGAUCGGGGGACGGGGGAGUACGGACUAGGAAUCUGCAUGUUAGUGGUGGAUAACGUCCGGAAACGGGAGCGAAUACUGCAUCCUAUCAAAAGAGCAUAGGUCGAAUUAGCUGUAUGGUGGGGUAAAGGCCAACCAAGGCGACGAUCCGUAACUGUUCUGAGAGGAUGAUCAGCCACACUGGAACUGAGACACGGUCCAGACUCCUACGGGAGGCAGCAGUAGGGAAUAUUGGACAAUGGGCGAAAGCCUGAUCCAGCCAUGCCGCGUGUGUGAAGAAGGUCUUCGGAUUGUAAAGCACUUUAAGUUGGGAGGCGUUACCAACAGAGUAAGCACCGGCUAACUUCGUGCCAGCCGCCGCGGUAAUUC
rnacentral:rRNA from 1 species